UACGAAGGGGGCUAGCGUUGUUCGGAAUUACUGGGCGUAAAGCGCGCGUAGGCGGAUUUGCCAGUCAGGGGUGAAAUGCCAGGGCUUAACCUUGGAACUGCCUUUGAUACUGCAAGUCUGGAGUACGGGAGAGGUGAGUGGAACUGCGAGUGUAGAGGUGAAAUUCGUAGAUAUUCGCAAGAACACCAGUGGCGAAGGCGGCUCACUGGCCCGAUACUGACGCUGAGGCACGAAAGCGUGGGGAGCAAACAGG
rnacentral:rRNA from 1 species